AACGCUGGCGGCGUGCUUAACACAUGCAAGUCGAGCGGAGAUAUUUGAAAGCUUGCUUUUGAAUAUCUUAGCGGCGGACGGGUGAGUAACGUGUGGGCAACCUGCCUCAUACAGAGGGAUAAUCAUGUGAAAACGUGACUAAUACCGCAUGUCAUUUGUUGAAGGCAUCUUCGACAAAGAAAAGGAGCAAUCCGGUAUGAGAUGGGCCCGCAUCUGAUUAGCUAGUUGGUGAGAUAACAGCCCACCAAGGCGACGAUCAGUAGCCGACCUGAGAGGGUGAUCGGCCACAUUGGGACUGAGACACGGCCCAAACUCCUACGGGAGGCAGCAGUGGGGAAUAUUGCACAAUGGAGGAAACUCUGAUGCAGCGACGCCGCGUGAGUGAAGAAGUAGUUCGCUAUGUAAAGCUCUAUCAGCAGGGAAGAUAGUGACGGUACCUGACUAAGAAGCUCCGGCUAAAUACGUG
rnacentral:rRNA from 1 species